rnacentral:rRNA from 1 species
CCUACGGGUGGCUGCAGUGGGGAAUAUUGCACAAUGGGCGCAAGCCUGAUGCAGCCAUGCCGCGUGUGUGAAGAAGGCCUUCGGGUUGUAAAGCACUUUCAGCGGGGAGGAAGGCGGUGAGGUUAAUAACCUCAUCGAUUGACGUUACCCGCAGAAGAAGCACCGGCUAACUCCGUGCCAGCAGCCGCGGUAAUACGGAGGGUGCAAGCGUUAAUCGGAAUUACUGGGCGUAAAGCGCACGCAGGCGGUCUGUCAAGUCGGAUGUGAAAUCCCCGGGCUCAACCUGGGAACUGCAUUCGAAACUGGCAGGCUAGAGUCUUGUAGAGGGGGGGUAGAAUGCCAGGUGUAGCGGUGAAAUGCGUAGAGAUCUGGAGGAAUACCGGUGGCGAAGGCGGCCCCCUGGACAAAGACUGACGCUCAGGUGCGAAAGCGUGGGGAGCAAACAGGAUUAGAUACCUGGUAGUC